rnacentral:lncRNA from 1 species
UGACCUCAUGAUCCGCCCAUCUCGGCCUCCCAAAGUGCUGGGAUUACAGCCUUGAGCCACCGUACCCGGCCGAUGGGUUUUUUUAAAAUAUGUGUUUUAUCAGAGAAUAUUUUAAAUUUUCACCGGCAAUAAACAAAAUAGUAUAAUAGACUGAUGCUCAGCCUCAACAUCUACUAAUUAAGUCUCAUUUUUGUUUAAUUUCUACUUCAAUUCCUUCCCCGUCCCCACUUUUUUACUGUUUUUAUUUUCUGUAAGAUAAGAUGUAUAUGCAUUGAAACAUAGUCUUUACUGUACCUUUCUGACAAAUCAAUACAUCUUAUAUACUUUUCCCUUUCAAAUAUAGAAUUACUGCCACUUAACAAUUAUUAAUGUGCAUGUGAAUCACCUGGAAAUACUUGAAGUUUAGAUUUUGAUACAAUAUAUCUGGGUUUUGCCUGAAAAUGUGUAUUUCUACCAUGUAGAGCACAUGAUAAGUACAAGAUCUCUUUGUCUAAAAUGUAUAAUACUUGAAUAAAAUUAAGAAAAAUUGGGCUGGGCACGGUGGCUCACACAUGUAAUCCCAGUACUUUGGGAGGCCGAGGUGGGCUAAUCACCUAAGGUCAGGAGUUUGAGACCAGCCUGACCAAUAUAGAGAAACCUCAUCUCUACUAAUGUAGCAGGAUGAGCAGCAGACAAAACUCCUCAGACACCGAGUUAAAGAAGGAAGGGGGCCGGACGCGGUGGCUCAAGCCUGUAAUCCCAGCACUUUGGGAGGCCGAGAUGGUCUCGAUCUCCUGACCUCGUGAUCCACCCAUCUCGGCCUCCCAAAGUGCUGGGAUUACAGGCUUGAGCCAUCGCGCCCGGCCUAUUUGUAUUCAUAUUAUGAAGCCUACUUCUCUCAUUUCAGCCAUCUCAGACUCAGCUCAGUUCUGAACCCUGGCUGGAGAGGUGUUGCAUGCAGUUGGUUGGAGAAAAGGGCGCACUCUGACUUUUGAGUUUUCAUCAUUUUUGUGCCAUUUCUCAUCUUUGUGGGUGUUUGGGUGAGGGAGAAGGGACAA